ACACAUGCAAGUCGAACGGUAACAGGAAGAAGCUUGCUUCUUUGCUGACGAGUGGCGGACGGGUGAGUAAUGUCUGGGAAACUGCCUGAUGGAGGGGGAUAACUACUGGAAACGGUAGCUAAUACCGCAUAACGUCGCAAGACCAAAGAGGGGGACCUUCGGGCCUCUUGCCAUCGGAUGUGCCCAGAUGGGAUUAGCUAGUAGGUGGGGUAACGGCUCACCUAGGCGACGAUCCCUAGCUGGUCUGAGAGGAUGACCAGCCACACUGGAACUGAGACACGGUCCAGACUCCUACGGGAGGCAGCAGUGGGGAAUAUUGCACAAUGGGCGCAAGCCUGAUGCAGCCAUGCCGCGUGUAUGAAGAAGGCCUUCGGGUUGUAAAGUACUUUCAGCGGGGAGGAAGGGAGUAAAGUUAAUACCUUUGCUCAUUGACGUUACCCGCAGAAGAAGCACCGGCUAACUCCGUGCCAGCAGCCGCGGUAAUACGGAGGGUGCAAGCGUUAAUCGGAAUUACUGGGCGUAAAGCGCACGCAGGCGGUUUGUUAAGUCAGAUGUGAAAUCCCCGGGCUCAACCUGGGAACUGCAUCUGAUACUGGCAAGCUUGAGUCUCGUAGAGGGGGGUAGAAUUCCAGGUGUAGCGGUGAAAUGCGUAGAGAUCUGGAGGAAUACCGGUGGCGAAGGCGGCCCCCUGGACGAAGACUGACGC
rnacentral:rRNA from 1 species